rnacentral:rRNA from 1 species
ACACAUGCAAGUCGAGGGGAAACGACAUCGAAAGCUUGCUUUUGAUGGGCGUCGACCGGCGCACGGGUGAGUAACACGUAUCCAACCUGCCGACAACACUGGGAUAGCCUUUCGAAAGAAAGAUUAAUACCGGAUGGUAUAGUUUUCCCGCAUGGGAUGAUUAUUAAAGAAUUUCGGUUGUCGAUGGGGAUGCGUUCCAUUAGGCAGUUGGCGGGGUAACGGCCCACCAAACCUACGAUGGAUAGGGGUUCUGAGAGGAAGGUCCCCCACAUUGGAACUGAGACACGGUCCAAACUCCUACGGGAGGCAGCAGUGAGGAAUAUUGGUCAAUGGACGAGAGUCUGAACCAGCCAAGUAGCGUGAAGGAUGACUGCCCUAUGGGUUGUAAACUUCUUUUAUACGGGAAUAAAGUGAGCCACGUGUGGCUUUUUGUAUGUACCGUAUGAAUAAGGAUCGGCUAACUCCGUGCCAGCAGCCGCGGUAAUACGGAGGAUCCGAGCGUUAUCCGGAUUUAUUGGGUUUAAAGGGAGCGUAGGCGGGUUGUUAAGUCAGUUGUGAAAGUUUGCGGCUCAACCGUAAAAUUGCAGUUGAUACUGGCGACCUUGAGUGCAACAGAGGUAGGCGGAAUUCGUGGUGUAGCGGUGAAAUGCUUAGAUAUCACGAAGAACUCCGAUUGCGAAGGCAGCUUACUGGAUUGUAACUGACGCUGAUGCUCGAAAGUGUGGGUAUCAAACAGGAUUAGAUACCCUGGUAGUCCACACAGUAAACGAUGAAUACUCGCUGUUUGCGAUAUACAGUAAGCGGCCAAGCGAAAGCAUUAAGUAUUCCACCUGGGG